UACGAAGGGGGCUAGCAUUGCUCGGAAUCACUGGGCGUAAAGGGUGCGUAGGCGGGUCUUAAGUCAGGGGUGAAAUCCUGGAGCUCAACUCCAGAACUGCCUUUGAUACUGAAGAUCUUGAGUUCGGGAGAGGUGAGUGGAACUGCGAGUGUAGAGGUGAAAUUCGUAGAUAUUCGCAAGAACACCAGUGGCGAAGGCGGCUCACUGGCCCGGUACUGACGCUGAGGUGCGAAAGCGUGGGGAGCAAACAGG
rnacentral:rRNA from 1 species